rnacentral:misc_RNA from 1 species
GAUGAAGAACGUAGCGAAACGCGAUAAGUAAUGUGAAUUGCAGAAUCCAGUGAAUCAUCGAAUCUUUGAACGCACAUUGCGCCCGCCAGCAUUCUGGCGGGCAUGCCUGUUCGAGCGUCAUUUCAACCCUCGACCUCCCCUUGGGGAGGUCGGCGUUGGGGACCGGCAGCACACCGCCGGCCCUGAAAUGGAGUGGCGGCCCGUCCGCGGCGACCUCUGCGCAGUAAUACAGCUCGCACCGGGACCCCGACGCGGCCACGCCGUAAAACACCCAACUUCUGAACGUUGACCUCGAAUCAGGAAGGACUACCCGCUGAACUUAAGCAUAUCAAUAAGCGGAGGA